AGACAGCAGCCGCCGCGGUAAUACGAAGGGGGCUAGCGUUGUUCGGAAUUACUGGGCGUAAAGGGCGCGUAGGCGGCCACUCAAGUUAGAUGUGAAAGCCCUGGGCUCAACCUAGGAAUUGCAUUUGAUACUGUUUGGCUUGAGUUCGGGAGAGGUGAGUGGAAUUCCCAGUGUAGAGGUGAAAUUCGUAGAUAUUGGGAAGAACACCAGUGGCGAAGGCGGCUCACUGGACCGACACUGACGCUGAGGCGCGAAAGCGUGGGGAGCAAACAGGAUUAGAUACCCGCGUAGUCCCUGUCUCUUAUAC
rnacentral:rRNA from 1 species